AAUGAUAAAGAUAUAUGAGAAUAUGAGACUGAAUAAUAGCCAUUAGAUUAAAAUGAAUGGUUGAGAUUAAAACACUUUUUAAUGUGUCUUUUCCACUCAAUCACAAACCCUUCAACUUCUCUCUUCAUUGUUCAUUCCUUCGAAGAAUCUUUCUCUCUCACGCCUUACCCCCGCAGCUGCCGAUGGAUACAGCAAUACACCAAUGAAUUCACCAUCUUAGUUCUGGCCAACCUCCACUGACCCAUAAACUUCCGACCGCCGUCUCAGUUCCGACCGCUGUCUUGCACACAAGUAAAUCUUACGACAUUGUUGCUGCAACCAUUAAAUUACAUCAGUUAAUAUAAAUCAAUCACAAGGUUAUUAUAACAUAAGACAAUGUCAAGGUCUCGUUGCUGCCAAAUCAAAAGAAGAACAAUAUUAAAUUCAAUUUGUAUUAGCUAUAUAUAAGCAAUUCAACCAUUUGAAAGUAUCCCUUCACAAAUUUCUUGUUGGUAACUAAAGAACAAAAGGGACGAGACACAGAUCCACCAUCAUCAUGUCCACCGUUAACGUAAUCCUUCACAAACCAUUUAAUAAAUUCCUCUUCUAAAGUUGUUUCAAUUUAUCAAUUCAUAGUUUUCUCAACUGGCUGCUGAAAGUUUCACAUCGGAAGAAGGCAAUCAUGCUCAACAAUCACAUCUUCUAAGGUGGUGUGAAUUAGAUCUAAUUUUUUACAAUCCCUCAACAAUCAGAAACGGCAACCAGGCUCUCAAGCCGACAACCGACGAUGAUGGAAGAAGGCGACUGGCCGGAAGUACUAGUGGUGGAAGGAAAGGGAAGAACCGGUCGGGAAUGGUAAGAGAGAAGUAAGAUACGGAAGAAGGAAAUGUUUGGUUGAAUGUGACAUCACUCACAAUAAUUACUUUAAUCUCAACCAUCCAUUUUAAUCUAAUGGCUAUUAUUUCAUUCUCAUAUUCUCAUAUAUCUUUAGCAUUCUCAUAAUAUACAUCCCCAUAUAUAUAUAUAUAUAUAUAUAUAAGGAACUUUCAUUGUUCACACCAAGUUUUGUUUUCUUCCAUUGCUGACACACAAAAUGUCAUAAACAAACAACAGAAAUGCAUCUGAGAAAGAAUUCAUACAUAUUUGUUUGAUGCUUUUGAUGAAGGUGAUCAAUAUAUGCAUUGGUUCAUGC
rnacentral:lncRNA from 1 species